rnacentral:tRNA from 1 species
GGGGAUAUAGUUCAGUGGUAGAACACUGGCCUAGCAUGCAAAAGGCCCUGGGUUCAAUACCCAACAUCACAA